rnacentral:tRNA from 1 species
GUUGGCUAAGUGGUAGAGCACCUGCUUGGCAUCCAGAAGGCCUCAGGUUCGAUCCCUGCCAUCUCCA